rnacentral:rRNA from 1 species
UUGACCUCAAAUCGGGUGAGACUACCCGCUGAACUUAAGCAUAUCAAUAAGCGGAGGAAAAGAAACUAACAAGGAUUCCCCUAGUAACUGCGAGUGAAGCGGGAAAAGCUCAAAUUUAAAAUCUGUUGGUCUUUGGCCAUCCGAGUUGUAAUUUAGAGAAGCGUUUUCCGCGCUGGACCGUGCACAAGUCUCCUGGAAUGGAGCGUCAUAGAGGGUGAGAAUCCCGUCUUUGGCACGGACACACCAGGGCUUUUGUGAUGCGCUCUCGAAGAGUCGAGUUGUUUGGGAAUGCAGCUCAAAAUGGGUGGUGAACUCCAUCUAAAGCUAAAUAUUGGCGAGAGACCGAUAGCGAACAAGUACCGUGAGGGAAAGAUGAAAAGCACUUUGGAAAGAGAGUGAAACAGUACGUGAAAUUGUUGAAAGGGAAACGCUUGAAGUCAGUCGCGUCGACCGAGACUCAGCCUUGCCUUGGCUUGGUGUACUUCUCGGCUGACGGGUCAGCAUCAAUUUUGCCCCUUGGAUAAUGGCGAGGGAAAUGUGACACCUUUAUGGUGUGUUAUAGUCCCUUGUCGCAUGCAAGGGUUGGGAUUGAGGAACUCAGCACGCACCUUUGGGUGUCGGGGCUUUGCCCACGAUACGUGCUUAGGAUGUGGCG